GGGGGCGUAGCUCAGCUGGGAGAGCAUCCGCUUUGCAAGCGGAAGGUCGUCGGUUCGAACCCGUCCGCCUCCA
rnacentral:tRNA from 1 species